ACCAGAGUCGCUAAUCACCACCACGCUUCCCCGACCACAGCCGGAGUAGACACAGGCAGAACGGCUGUAAGAUGACUGCAAGACAUGGAGGAAAAAUACACACCAAAAGCUGUCGGUACGAAAACAACAGCAGAAACAACAGCCUCCAGUACCAGAGUCCACCCACCGGGGGGAGUCUGCCUGGGUCCUGGUUCUACCUGCGUGACGGAGGUUCACAGGUCCGCCUGUUCCAAACGUCACUGCCCACAUGCUGCCCUGUGAGCCUUAUAUUUGGAACACUGGCUUUCAGGCUAAAUGGGAAAGGUUGUGUGAGGAAACUGUGCCAGUCUCUAAUCUCACCACUAGAGGGAAGAGCUGAACAUCACUGACUUUAUCCUUCAACAAACUGAAGCUUUGGUUCAGAUUCACCAGGAAUUCUCUUCACCACAGAUCAGCCCGGAACGUCAGCCCGGAACGUCAGCCCGGAACGUCAGAACUGAAGGUCAGAACUGAAGGUCAGAACUGAACGUCAAAACUGAACGUCAGAACUGAACGUCAGCCCGGAACGUCAGAACUGAACGUCUUCACUUUGGUCUAAACAUUUGGAACAUACACAGUCAAAGAUGAGGAGGAGGAGGAUGGACUGAGGAGAACCAGGACAUGUGACCCACUAAUAGAUGUGUUUAAAAGUUUUAUGUCCAAUUCUGUCCACCAGGGGGCAGUGUCUCAUGGCAGCCUGUUUCUCUGGACCAGUUGUAUUUUUCUGGUUACAGGCUGUUGUCGAGUCGUUGGGUCACAUGACCUGACCCUGUGUCAAAGGGCACGGCGUGACGGUACAGGUUCGCUCGGAUCGUCUGCUGCAGCUCGUGGUCGACUGAACUUUU